rnacentral:lncRNA from 1 species
UUCCUUUGGUGGCGUCUGAGAGGGAGAAGAGAAGGGAGAGAAUCGAAAAGGAGCAUCGGCGGUAUGAGUUUCAGUUGCGGCAGCCAUUGAUGGCAAGGGAAGAUAUCUUAGAAGCAGCCAUGGAUGGAGAUUUCGUCAACGGUAUGAGUUUCAUCGGCCGUCGGACUUAGAGGAAUUUGAAGGUUCCUUUGGUGGCGUCUGAGAGGGAGAAGAAAAGGGAGAGAAUCGAAAAGGAGCGUCGACGGUAUGAGUUUCAGUUGCGGCAACCAUUGAUGACAAGGGAAGAUAGCUUAGAAGCAGCCAUUGAUGGAGAUUUCGUUAACGGUAUGAGUUUCAUCGGCCGGUUCGGCCGGAUCUGUAGUGAAUCUGACUCGCUGGAGCACUGGAGAAG